rnacentral:sRNA from 1 species
UCGAAGCGCCUUUCAGGCAUCCUCUCCCAAACUUUUCAAAGCCGGCCCAAGUGGCCGGCUUUUCUUUUUGAUAAAA